rnacentral:rRNA from 1 species
GAAGGGACCUAGCGUAGUCGGAAUUACUGGGCUAAAGAGUCGUAGGUGGUGAAAAAGUUGGUGGUGAAAUCCCAGAGCUUAACUCUGGAACUGCCAUCAAAACUUUUCAGCUAGAGUAUGAUAGAGGAAAGCAGAAUUUCUAGUGUAGAGGUGAAAUUCGUAGAUAUUAGAAAGAAUACCAAUUGCGAAGGCAGCUUUCUGGAUCAUUACUGACACUGAGGAACGAAAGCAUGGGUAGCGAAGAGGAUUAGAUACCCUCGUAGUCCAUGCCGUAAACGAUGUGUGUUAGACGUUGGAAAUUUAUUUUCAGUGUCGCAGGGAAACCGAUAAACACACCGCCUGGGGAGUACGACCGCAAGGUUAAAACUCAAAUGAAUUGACGGGGACCCGCACAAGUAGUGGAGCAUGUGGUUUAAUUCGAAGAUACGCGCAGAACCUUACCAACACUUGACAUGUUCGUCGCGACUCUAAGAGAUUAGAGUUUUCGGUUCGGCCGGACGAAACACAGGUGCUGCAUGGCUGUCGUCAGCUCGUGUCGUGAGAUGUUGGGUUAAGUCCCGCAACGAGCGCAACCCUCACUUUUAGUUGCCAUCAUUAAGUUGGGCACUCUGAAAGAACUGCCAGUGAUAAGCUGGAGGAAGGUGGGGAUGACGUCAAGUCCUCAUGGCCCUUACGUGUUGGGCUACACACGUGCUACAAUGGCAUCUACAACAGGAAGCAAAACGGCAACGUUAAGCAAAUCCCGAAAAGAUGCCUCAGUUCGGAUUGCACUCUGCAACUCGAGUGCAUGAAGCUGGAAUUACUAGUAAUCGUGGAUCAGCGUGCCACGGUGAAUGCGUUCCCGGGUCUU